rnacentral:tRNA from 1 species
GCCGAUGUAGCUCAGUGGUAGAGCAGUUCACUCGUAAUGAUCAGGUCAGGGGUUCAACUCCCCUCAUCGGCU